rnacentral:ncRNA from 2 species
UAAAAUAUGCAAGGGAGCUUUUAGAAAAGCUGAGAGGAAAGCUAUGCGCUUUCGACCUUACCUGAUUUGGAUAAUGCCAACGUAGGGAUGCACAAGCGGUUUUUGC